GAUGAACGCUGGCGGCGUGCCUAAUACAUGCAAGUAGAACGCUGAAGGCGGAGCUUGCUUCUCUGGAUGAGUUGCGAACGGGUGAGUAACGCGUAGGUAACCUGCCUGGUAGCGGGGGAUAACGAUUUGAAACGAUAGCUAAUACCGCAUAAUAGCAGUUGUUGCAUGACAACCGUUUGAAAGGUGCAAUUGCACCACUACCAGAUGGACCUGCGUUGUAUUAUCUAGUUGGUGGCGUAACGGCUCACCAACGCGACGAUACAUAGACGACCUGAGAGGGGGAUCGGCCACACUGGGACUUAGACACGGCCCAGACUCCUACGGGAGGCAGCAGUAGGGAAUCUUCGGCAAUGGAAGGAAGUCUGAACAAGGAACGACGCGUGAGUGAAGAAGGUUUUCGGAUCGUAGAGCUGUGUUGUGAGAGAAGAACGAAUGUGAGAGUGGAAAGUUCACACUGUGACGGUAUCUUAACAGAAAGGGACGGCUAACUACGUG
rnacentral:rRNA from 1 species